AAUGAACGCUGGCGGCGUGCCUAACACAUGCAAGUCGAGCGAGAAAGUUCCUUCGGGAAUGAGUAAAGCGGCGGACGGUUGAGUAACACGUGAGAAUCUACCCUUUAGUGAAGAAUACCUUCGAGAAAUCGAAAUUAAUACUGCAUAAGUCCCUUCGGGGAGAAAAGUGGCCUCUUUGCUACUGCUAAAAGGAUGAGCUUGCGGACUAUCAGCUAGUUGGUGAGGUAAAGGCUCACCAAGGCUAUGACGGUUAGCCGGCCUGAGAGGGUGAACGGCCAGACUGGAACUUAGACACGGUCCAGACUCCUACGGGAGGCAGCAGUGAGGAAUAUUGCGCAAUGGGCGAAAGCCUGACGCAGCGACGCCGCGUGGAGGAUGAAGGUUUUCGGAUCGUAAACUCCUGUUAAGUGGGAAGAAAAGUCUGUGGUUAAUACCCGCAGAAAAUGACGGUACCAUUAUAGAAAACACCGGCUAACUACGUGCCAGCAGCCGCGGUAAU
rnacentral:rRNA from 1 species